AUCUAUGAAGAGCUACAAUGUGGCAGACGGAAGUCGUCGAGGAUGUUUCUGUGGAAACAUCCGGCCGCAUCUUUGGAACUUCGUCAGCGUUUGCGUCAUGCAAAUAGCCAUUUCAGCAUAGAAAAUUCCAGGAAACUGGCGAAAAUGAUACAGACUGCCAUAAUCUGUGAUGAAGAUAUCAUAGAUGUUGACCUUGUGCUCGACGUAAUGAUGCCUGAGGUUUCCAUCAACAUUGUCACGAACCAC